AACGAAAAAAUAAACGAAAAAAUAAACUAUUUACAUACCGACAUGAAUGAUAAUGACGUACACUCUUAUAUAAAUAUAGACGAUUGUAAUGAUCAUAUGUCCACAUUAACAAAAUAUAAUAUACAAAAACCAAUAAAUAUAUUAGAUAAAUGUCAAAAAAAUAUAUCACAUGAAAAAACGAAUAAAAAAAAAAAUGUCAAAUUACAGGAAGAAAUAGAAGAGAUUAAAUAUAAUAAUGAUGAAUGUUUUGUUUAUUCAAAAGAAAAGGAAUCAGGAAAUAAAAAAAAAAUUUACUUUGAUCAUUCUUCUUCUGGUGACUACCAGUUAGAAAAUCAAACUAGUAAUUUAUCCAAAUAUGAAAAAAAAAAAAAAUUGUGUUUAAUAAAUGAAAAAGAAUCAUCUGAAUUUAAUGAUGAUUCAGAAACAUUAACAAAUAAACAUUUUCAAACAAUAUCAAAUUUGAAUGAUAAUAACGAAUUAAAAAUAAAUGUAAAAUGUGAUAACUUUUUGUCACCCAGAGAUAAUACAGUAGAAGUUGACACGGAUGUUGGAGAAAGUAUACAAAUUGAGAAAGGUGUACAAAUUGAAGAACAUGUAAGUAAUAAGAAUAAAAUGGGUAAAGAAAAAAAAAGAUUUUUGGUACCAAUUGACUAUGACCCCUACAAUAUAUAUUCAAACGAAGAGAACGAUAAUAAUUCAGAAAUACCAAGCGAGAAUAAUAAUGAUGAUAACAACAAUAACAACUACAACUAUAGCGACAAUUAUAAUAAUGAAAAAUAUUUAUUUUUAAAUAAAUUUCAAGAAAGAAAUAAUAUUAGAAAUGGUUGUAAAAUGUUUCAAAAUUUACGGAAUUUCUUAUCUUCAUUUACUUUUUAUUUCUUUUUUUUUAUUUUUAUAUAUGCAUUUUUAUUAUCAGUUAUGCAUAUAUUUAUUAACUAUUUUUUUUACAUAUAUUUGUUUGUAUUUAAUAUAAAUAUCUAUGUUUCAAACAUUUAUACAAUAAUUAUGACAUUUGUUUCUCUUUUAGCAAUACCAUUUUCUGGUUAUAUACUUGAUAAUAUAAACAACUUCUUGUCUCUUCUUGUGUGCUCUUCCCUUUUUAUUCUGACAGCAAUAUCAGGGUCCAUAUAUUGUUAUAUAAACAACAUAAGUUCGGAGUUAUUGGCUUUUAUAUUUUUCAACUUAAUAGGUAUAAGUGAAUCUGUUAUUCCAACAGUUAUUAUUUCCCAGAUACCAACUCAUUUAUGCGUAAAAAGUAAUGAACAUAUUAUUGCUGCUUUCGCAAUAUUUGAGCUGGUUUCAAUGAUAAUCAUAAGUUUAAAUAAUUAUGCUUUUGGUUAUUUCUUAAUUAAAAAAGAGUACUUGAAGGGUCUAUACAUAUUACUUUUUUUGGUUAUACUUGUUAUUAUCCUUAUAAUUUUGUUAAUGGUGACAAUUUAUUUAAAAAAAAAAACAAAAAACUAUUCGUAUAAUAGUACAAAUAAUUUGUACUUAACACGCCCACUUCUUUAAAAUUAGCUUAUAUUUAUAUUUGUGUAUGGCGUUACUUUUUUUUUUUUAUUUUAUUUACUUUUUUUUACUUUAUAUUACUGCCCAUUUAAUGUUUUUAUGGUGUAUUUAACAUAGUUAUAAACUUAUAUUUUUUUAUUUGUGUUCCCCAUUUGACAUGUACACAUAUAUAUGUACAUAUAUGUGUGUAUAUAUAUUCAUGUAUGCUAUAAUGUAAUUCUAUUUAUAUUUACAUUUUUUUUUUUUUGUUAAUAUAAUAGUUAUGUAUGGAAACUUUUACUUAUUAAUAAAACAAAAUUUUAUGCGAGUUAUUAGUCUUGU
rnacentral:lncRNA from 1 species